rnacentral:rRNA from 2 species
UAGGACUCUCGGCAAUGGAUAUCUUGGCUCUUGCAUCGAUGAAGAGCGCAGCGAAAUGCGAUACGUGGUGCGAAUUGCAGAAUCCCGUGAACCAUCGAGUUUUUGAACGCAAGUUGCGCCUGAGGCCAUCUGGUCGAGGGCACGUCCGCCUGGGCGUCAUGC